GACGAACGCUGGCGGCGUGCUUAACACAUGCAAGUCGAACGGAAAGGCCCUGCUUUUGUGGGGUGCUCGAGUGGCGAACGGGUGAGUAACACGUGAGUAACCUGCCCUUGACUUUGGGAUAACUUCAGGAAACUGGGGCUAAUACCGGAUAGGAGCUCCUGCUGCAUGGUGGGGGUUGGAAAGUUUCGGCGGUUGGGGAUGGACUCGCGGCUUAUCAGCUUGUUGGUGGGGUAGUGGCUUACCAAGGCUUUGAUGGGUAGCCGGCCUGAGAGGGUGACCGGCCACAUUAGGACUGCGAUACGGCCCAGACUCCUACGGGAGGCAGCAGUGGGGAAUAUUGAACAAUGGGCGGAAGCCUGAUGCAGCAACGCCGCGUGCGGGAUGACGGCCUUCGGGUUGUAAACCGCUUUCGCCUGUGACGAAGCGUGAGUGACGGUAAUGGGUAAAGAAGCACCGGCUAACUACGUG
rnacentral:rRNA from 1 species